CCAGGUUCAUUGAACCCGCACAGACCCUUUCAUGCAUGUGUUUCUGAUUCUGAUUUCAUGCGCUGACAUCACUGAAACGGUAUGCCCGGGGUUAGUCUCAUGACCACCGAGCUGGGAGCGCAGGAAUUUUGGUGCCAGAAAAAUUGGAUAAUGUGGGACAUACUGACUUUGCUCUCCAGUUUCCAAAUCCUCCUGGGACACUUCUGAGCCUGCCGGAGGCUGUGGUCCUUGUCACUCACGUACAGGGAGGAUCGGGCCGCCGUCCCGGUCACCAGGGAUGAGUGUUCUUCGUGCUGGAUGCCGAGGACGGACCCUCAAAGCUGGUGUAAUUGAAACCAACCCUCUAAAUGCUUGUUCAUUCCUGAGGGAAAUUAAAGGUGAUUUCAAGCAGGAAGAUCACAGAUUUCAGAAAAAGGGCCUGGGGGGCUGCACCGUGGACUGGACGGCUGGGCUGCUGGAGCCCCGUUCGGGGAGAUUAGCUGCAGCCGAUUGCACUUUCCGGAGGGAGGGCCGGCCUCGUGGGGAGACCCCUGCCCUCCUGCCCCCUCUCCACUCGGCAGAGGUAAAGAGGCCCGCCAGCUUCAGGGCUUGCUGCCCGCGGCCCCCACCCCAGAAAGAGCCGAGGUGGAGUCAGGGAUCAGAGCAGGCACCCAGCUCAGACCGGGCUCCCUGAAAGCCCCCCCCAGCCUGUGUGGUGGGGGGAGCCUGGGCCAGGAGGGCAGACAAGGGAGGAGGCCCAGCGAAAAGCCCCCUGGUAGCCUCAUUCAGGUGUUGGGCGUUCUCAGACCAGUCUUCUCUAAACCUCUGUGCCUCAGUUUCCUCAGCUGUACAGAAAAAACGGAACCGGUACCCGAGAGCUGCGGGGCGGGUCGCAUUAAAUGCGGUGACGCCCGUGACGCCCUCAGGGUCCGGACCAUUGGGGGAACAACAGAUACUGAUGGAAUGUGAAUUGGCAUCCCAGCAGCUGAGGGAAAGAGCCCUUGAUUAAACACAGGGACUCGGCCAGGACACUCAUUUUCCGUAGAAGGUGAGGGCAGGCUCCACACGCGCCUUAGAAACAAAAGCUAUCUUUU